rnacentral:rRNA from 1 species
GAUGAACGCUGGCGGCGUGCCUAAUACAUGCGAGUCGAGCGAACAGACGAGAGUGCUUGCACUCUCUGACGUUAGCGGCGGACGGGUGAGUAACACGUGGGUAACCUACCUAUAAGACUGGGAUAACUUCGGGAAACCGGAGCUAAUACCGGAUAAUAUUUAGCUUCGCAUGAAGCAAUAGUGAAAGACGGUUCUGCUGUCACUUAUAGAUGGACCCGCGGUGUAUUAGCUAGUUGGUGAGGUAACGGCUCACCAAGGCAACGAUACAUAGCCGACCUGAGAGGGUGAUCGGCCACACUGGGACUGAGACACGGCCCAGACUCCUACGGGAGGCAGCAGUAGGGAAUCUUCCGCAAUGGACGAAAGUCUGACGGAGCAAUGCCGCGUGAGUGAAGAAGGUUUUCGGAUCGUAAAACUCUGUUGUAAGGGAAGAACAAGUACGUUAGUAACUGAACGUACCUUGACGGUACCUUACCAGAAAGCCACGGCUAACUACGUG